UGGACGUUUGAGAUUUGAGAGGGGCUGCUCCUAGUACGAGAGGACCGGAGUGGACGAACCUCUGGUGUUCCGGUUGUCACGCCAGUGGCAUUGCCGGGUAGCUAUGUUCGGAAAAGAUAACCGCUGAAAGCAUCUAAGCGGGAAACUUGCCUCAAGAUGAGAUCUCACUGGGAACUUGAUUCCCCUGAAGGGCCGUCGAAGACUACGACGUUGAUAGGCUGGGUGUGUAAGCGUUGUGAGGCGUUGAGCUAACCAGUACUAAUUGCCCGUGAGGCUUGACCAU
rnacentral:rRNA from 1 species